ACACCAACAUUAUCAAACUCACAAGGUUCAAAUAUCUUUAUAUGCACUCAAAGAUUGAAGUACCCGAAAAUGUGACCAAACUAGAAAAUUAGCGAUUGUAAAGGAAAUGUUGACGAUUUGUGCGUCUUAAAUCGUUGGCAGGAUAUUAAGAGUGGGAAGUUUUCAAAUUGAGACUCGCUGUAUUGGAAAACAAGAGCAUUCUACAGGGUGACCAAGGUGUUUUUGAUUUUGCCCAUGUUUUUUAAUCAGUUCGAUGCAUUCUUCGAAAAAUCGACCGCCUCCCUUGGAAAAAUUUCGCUCACACCCAUUCGUCAAUCAUUCAUUUGGUCCACAAGUUAAUACUUAGAAGUGGCCGAUUGGAAAAUCGCGGUGCAAUUCUGCUGCGCAUUGACCGCCGUAAAUUUAUUCUAGCAAGGGUUACAUUUUCCGUUAAUUGUUUCUAAACAAGAAUUACUAAUAUAAUAGUAAUAGUUAAAUAUUAGUGGUCGUUGUUUUUAAAUAAAAUAUAAAAUAAAAGGA